GCAGAAACGUGUAAUCACCCAAACAACCGUUUUUACCCGUUUCACCCCCUCUGGAUCUGUGUCGCAAGUCCGCUGUGAGCCUGUCUGCCUUUCACUGCGGAUAUCGUGGAGGGAGGCCGGAGCGUGAAGAAGACACCAGAGAGGUGUGUGGCAUGUGGAAAAGUGUGCAGACACGAUCAGCAUGUGACUUAUCCUAUAAACGCUCUUGAACAAUUGCCUUGCUAAUCACAUUAUGGAUACAGUAAGCUCAACAAAUUGGAGGAGAAAAGUGAUGCCGCGGAAUAGAAGAAAUCAGCUUUAAGUGGUAUGUAGUUUAUUUGGGACUUUUUUUUACUUGAAAAGUGCACAAAAAUAUGAUCCCCACUUAUAUAUUCUUAUAUGUUCUAUCAGAACUCAUAAGCAUAAUUAUACGCACAGGUGACAAAUGAAAGGGAAAGACGACAUCAAGUGUCGAACAUGCUGUUGAACAAUGGGUUGUAAUGAAGUUGUAAUGAAGGGUUUUCUAACGUCACACAAGAUGUAAAAGAGCUAUGUCCAUCGAUAUUGAAAUAAUGUUUUUAUUAAGCCUUUUCAACUUCUUAACUUUUUUGUUCAAACCCAUGUUACUUGGUGUGCUUCAUGUGUUCUGCAUAUCACAUAAACUUGAGCUGCCAGCCUUAAGAGAUGAGAAAUGGGCCACAGAGUUUUCAGUUUGUUCUAACUAUGCACCUCCUAGAUUUGAUCCUUUCACACUUGCAGCCCCAACCAG